UUGGGAGCUUACUGGUUACGGAGUCAUGGGAACUCCGAAGUUAAGCGAGUUGGGGGCUAGAGCAAUCCCAAGAUGGGUGACCCACUGGGAAGUUGCUUGUGAGUUCCCAGA
rnacentral:rRNA from 1 species